rnacentral:lncRNA from 1 species
CGUCUAGCCGCAGCAGCUCCCUCAUGGAGACUCCGCAAGCCAAGAGGCCGUGGAGGCAAAUGCAGCCAGCACACCUCGAACAGCCACCUUGACUGCGGGUGUGCCGCCCUAGUCGCCAAGGAAGCAUUUGAGGGAAAGCGACAGGCAAUGUGAAAAGCCACUUCUCCAUGCAAACGAUACUCUUUCUCUUGGAUGACUCCUACGCCUCGCCACGCUAGCACUCUUGUGCACAAAGAUGCCGCGGAGGCACGUGCAAGUCAGAGGCAAGAAGCAGUGGCACUGGUGUCGACAUUCACCCAAUUUCUUUUUCUUACACUGAGGCAGCCAGCACACCUCGAACAGCCACCUUGACUGCGGGUGUGUCAGCAGAUUCCUGUUGUACAUAUGCUCAUAAUAAACUUCAGUAAGCUUGAACUUGAUAAUAAACUUGAAGGCAUAUGGGA